ACCGAGCAUGCGCCGCCUCGCUCGCUCGGGCGCACGGGCUGGCGUGCGGCUGCGCUUUAAUCGUCGCCCUGGAGACCUCCGCGUCGCCGGCGCGCGGCUGCUGCUUACGCUGCUGGCAGAGGAAAGGGAAGGAAGGGAGGAGAGAGGCCUGGCACCGGCUUUCGUAUUUUAGCUACAAAGGGACUGAGAGUCGUAGAGAUCGAGUCGCACCGCCAAGACUUCAUGCUUGAUUCACCUCUGAGUCUGGCUUCAAAAAACAGGCACCAGUCUUCCGGCUCCACUCCGGACACCGUUUCCUGUGCCCAUUCUGUCCCUGGAUUACGGAGGCCGACGUGUCCAUAAAUUACUGCAAUGGAAAGGAGCUUUCCAGAGGGUCAAAAAAAAAAAGAAGAAAGAGGCUGAGGUUCGCGUAAUGAUCACAGAACCGCUCCUUCCACGCCAGCGAGUCUGCCGUUCGCUGAGUUUCCCUGCCAGGUUCGACCUUCCUGCGUCAUGCUCGGUUCUGCACACAAAUGUCCACACCAGAGACCUGGAGCGUCACAGAAAGCCACUUGGUUGGUUGGAGCUCCGCGAGGAACACGCUGCGUUCCCUGAAAUCUUGGUUCCAAGUGUGUUUUCACAUUUAGAUGACUCACAGAGACUCUGUUGGCACAUUAUCCACUCAGCACGAAAGAUGGGCUGGACGAGUAAGAAAAAAUAAUGAAUUUCAACAUGUGUGCAGGGGUAAGAUGGCUGCUUACUGUCUGUCACACCCUCCACCUCAUUCCAGCUCCAUCUGCUGGGGCCACUCAGUAGGUGGGAGGGACCUGGAGGGACGGUAUCAUACUGGCACACUGAAAUGUAAGAUUUUUUUUUUGCAACGUGCAUUCAUUGCCGCUUAUAUGUGUCGCUGCUGGGGGUCAUGUAACUGAAUGAGGACUGGCCACAGGGGCAGAGAAGGAGCAGGAUGCGAUCUGCUAGAGUGGAUGACAGGACUAAACUCGAUUCGGGAAACCGCACUGAACGCGCUACCACGCAAAUCCAGACCUUAAAGUGCAGAACGUUCUGGAGAGGCAGCAAACAAUGAAAAGUCAA